CCAAAUAAUGGAUGGGGAACGGAUGGCGUUUUGCCCUUUGGACAGUGCUAACUAGAGAGAGAGAGUGAGAAAGUGAAGGGAGGAGCCUGAGGACAGGAGGGCAAGGAGAAUCCGAAUGCACAGAAGCAGACAGCGGAGUGGAGAAAAGAUAAAUUAGUGUUCUUCUUCUCACCAUACAUCUCCUUCCCCUGAGCUUCAUAAAAUCUUAUGAUUGUUUAUAUCUCAAUCUCAUUCUCCCCCAAUCGUUUUCCUACCCUACUACACCAGAAAACUCACUCCCCUAAGUCACUCUCUCUAACCGUUCCUCUGCUUCUUCCCUUGUGAUUUGGGUGUGAGAAGUAGUAGUGGGCUAUGAUCUGAAAAGGGAACCACAAGCAAUCGUAUCCAGCCAACCUUUUUUUUUUUUAAAUCAAAUCUUAUAGGGUAGUUAGAUCGGAAGCUGUUAGGGUGUGAUGAGAGAGGAGAAGACUGAAAUGUCGGAAGACGAGGACAUGACGGUGGAUCUUGGUGGUGCCACUGGUGGCGGCGAUGGCGUAACCCAUGAGGCAUCAUCCAGCCAGACUUGCAGCUGUCCCUCGCCUUUCCCCGAUCAAGUUCUCGAGAUCGUUCUCGAGAACGUGCUUCUCUUCCUGACAUCUCGCCGCGACCGCAACGCUGUCUCACUCGUCUGCAAGUCUUGGUACAGGGCCGAGGCGUUCACUCGGUCUGAACUCUUUAUCGGAAACUGUUACGCCGUGUCGCCUCGCAGGGCGAUCGAGAGGUUUCGAGGGGUGAGGUCUUUGAUGCUCAAGGGGAAGCCGCGGUUCGCUGAUUUCAGUUUGGUACCUCCGAAUUGGGGUGCUCACUUCUUGCCCUGGGUUUCUACUAUGGCGACUGCUUAUCCCUGGUUGGAAAAGGUUUACCUGAAGCGUAUGUCGGUCACCGAUGGCGAUUUGAAACUUCUCGCUAAUUCCUUUCCGGGUUUUAAGGAGCUCGUGCUCGUUUGCUGUGAAGGAUUUGGCACCAGCGGCCUUGCUGCUGUGGCCAGCGAGUGCAGUCGACUUCGUGUGCUUGAUCUGAUCGAUGACGAUGUUAUGGAUGAUGAAGUUGACUGGAUAUCCUGUUUCCCAGAGACUGGGACAUGUCUUGAAUCUCUCGUAUUUGACUGUGUCGAAUGCCCUGUGAACUUUGAAUCAUUGGAACAACUGGUGGCUGGAUCUCCUUCUUUGAGGAGGCUUAAAUUGAAUCGACAUGUCUCCCUUGGGCAACUCCAUCGCCUGAUGGUCCGAGCUCCACAGCUCACUCAUCUCGGAACAGGGUCUUUCAGCCUGUCAGAGCACCCUGCACAAGAAGAUCAAGAAGCAAAUCUCUCUGAGGCUUUUGCUACAUGCAAAUCCCUAGUCUGUCUCUCAGGAUUCAGGGAUAUUGUGCCGAGCUAUCUCCCCACAAUCCAUCCAGCCUGUGCUAAACUCACCUCUCUCAAUCUGAGCUAUGCCAACAUCAAUGCCGAACAACUCAAAUCAGUUAUCUGUCACUGCCAUAAGCUUCAAACCUUCUGGGUACUUGACUCUGUAUGUGAUGAAGGGCUUCAGGCUGUGGCUGCUACUUGCAAGGAACUCCAUGAGCUUCGAGUCUUCCCCAUGGAUGCCCGUGAAGAUGGUGAAGGAUUUGUUUCUGAAGUGGGCCUUCUUGCAAUUUCUCAGGGCUGUAGGAAGUUGCGAUCCAUAUUAUAUUUCUGCCAGGAAAUGAGCAAUGCAGCUGUGGUGGCUAUGUCACAGAACUGUCCUGAGCUUGUGGUUUUCCGUCUCUGUAUAAUGGGACGCCACCGGCCUGACCAUGUGACUGGUGAACCCAUGGAUGAAGGGUUUGGAGCCAUUGUAAUGAACUGUAAGAAGCUGAUGAGACUUGCUGUGUCUGGUUUACUCACUGACAAGGCCUUCAGUUACAUUGGGAAGUAUGGGAAAUUGAUCCGCACCCUAUCUGUUGCAUUUGCGGGAGACAGUGAUAUGGGAUUGACGUAUGUGCUUGAGGGCUGCCCUAAAUUGCAGAAGCUUGAGAUCAGAGACAGCCCAUUUGGGGAUUCGGCAUUGCUUUCAGGUUUGCACCACUAUUACAACAUGAGGUUCUUGUGGAUGUCUUCAUGUAAACUAUCUCUUGAAGGCUGUAAAGAGGUUGCUCGGAUGAUGCCUCACCUGGUGGUUGAAGUUAUUAGGGACCGGGAUGAAGUGGAUACGACCGAUGAUGCCGUUGAGAAGCUAUAUAUGUACCGCUCCCUUGAAGGGCACAGGCUUGAUGUUCCAUCAUAUGUGACAAUCUUGUAGGCUUGUCUUUGUAGGCUAGGGAGAUGGAUAUCACAUCUGUUACAGACAUACGUGGAUUGCCACUGGAUGGUUUAUAUUCAUUUUCAGCUCUUCUGAAGAAAUUGAUAUUGCGGGUACCUUUUAAAACCCACAAUUAGGUGCCGGAGCUACUUGUCAAAAGAUUGUAACACACCUAUCAUUUUUUUCUCUCCACUGGCCGGUCAGCAUGGCAUUGAAGCAGAAACUUGGUGAACGACACCAUGUAGUCUUUGCUAAGUACCCUUCCAAGGGAUCUUCAAACAGUAAGUAAUGUAGGUGAUGGAUGUUUCUAUAAGGUGGGUUCGCUCAUCCGAUGUUGUAUUUGUAGGUGAUUGAUUUUAAUGAUUCUCUAUUUAUCAUAAAGGAGAUGGGGGGAGGAAUCAUCCUUGUCAGAUGGAGGAUGGUAGGCAUGAAUUUUCCUAUUGGUUCAAGAUCUGGGAUCAGUAUGUUCAUCACAUUGAAGAAUCUGAUAGAUUCAGACAGGCGAAAAUUGGGAACAUCUUAAUUUUUACACUGCUUUAUGUAGGCUUCUCUCUGAAUGAAGGCUCAGUUCUUUAAAUGGUAGUUGACUUGAACUGUUACUGCUGAUUAUUAGACACCAGGGGAAAUGCCCAUAUUGUUGCAAGAGAAUUGAAGAGGACCGACUAAUGAUUUGAGAGUGUUGGUUGGAACUCGGCUAAGUUGGAGAUGAAGAACACUGCCGGACCAUCAUGAGUUAAAAAUUUGGAUUCUUGCCACAAUAUCAGAGCCUCAGAGGCUCCAAUGGGUCCUGAUUAUGGUUGGAUGGAUAUGGGAGAAUCUGUGGAAAGGACUAUACUUAUAAUUUCUUCAUGUUUGUGCCUCUAUAUUUAUUCCACUGGUGUAGCAUUUUCCAUGUCUUCUAUUGCAAUAGUAGAGUAGAUUUACAGAAUCUA